UGUCAAAGUAUUCUGUUCUAAGAGCCAUUUCAAACAACUGACUAGAAUUUCAGAGCAAUUACAUGAGAGUAAUACCAUGAAAAUUUUUAAAUUACCCAUAGUCCUAUAUCCCUAACAAGUAUGUUCAUGUUUGCAUGUUCUCUUCUCAUCUUUACUGUGUGUCUACUUUCUUAGUAAUGGCACAUAGAAAUUGUUUAAGCAGGAAUAAUUCUCGAGAUAAUUUUGUAUGUUUCCUUUUUUCUUUUUAAGGUAUGUAUUGGGUGGAGGAGCAUUAUGUAUUGAACUUCUCACAGAACAGGGCUGAAGCAGUGCCUACUCGACAGAACCAGUCAUCAUGCAAAGAAAAGCCACCUGACUCAAAGGCAAAGCCAGAGUGCAGCUUGGAGGAAAGAAGGAGAAACUAACAAUGAAAAUGGACUUGUUGACAGAAGAAAAGUAGGAAUGCAGCCUCUGGUGCUGUUUGAGUGAUCCCUCUGCCCCAGGCCUGGCUGUGUGCUGCUGUGUUCUGGUAAGGUGCAUUGUAACCUUUCUGCGGCAGGUAAGAGUCCUGUACAGGUGCUCUGCCCACUUUACCUUUCAGGCUUCUGUAUCAGCUGUUUUUCCCUUGUAGAAUGUGCCUCUGACCUGUGCCCCUGACUUCCACCCCUUAACCCUACCCAAAACAUCUUUACAUGUCUGACCAUCAAGCCUCUUCUGGGUCAUAUUCAGUUCAUGCUGAUAUUUUCCCUUCCUCCCUUCUUUAGUCCUUACUGUUUUUGCUUUGGUCAUGUUAUGCUAUAUUCCGUA